rnacentral:rRNA from 1 species
AGUGAACGCUGGCGGUAGGCCUAACACAUGCAAGUCGAACGGCAGCACAGUAAGAGCUUGCUCUUACGGGUGGCGAGUGGCGGACGGGUGAGGAAUACAUCGGAAUCUACUUUUUCGUGGGGGAUAACGUAGGGAAACUUACGCUAAUACCGCAUACGACCUACGGGUGAAAGCAGGGGAUCUUCGGACCUUGCGCGAUUGAAUGAGCCGAUGUCGGAUUAGCUAGUUGGCGGGGUAAAGGCCCACCAAGGCGACGAUCCGUAGCUGGUCUGAGAGGAUGAUCAGCCACACUGGAACGGAGACACGGUCCAGACUCCUACGGGAGGCAGCAGUGGGGAAUAUUGGACAAUGGGCGCAAGCCUGAUCCAGCCAUACCGCGUGGGUGAAGAAGGCCUUCGGGUUGUAAAGCCCUUUCGUUGGGAAAGAAAAGCAGCAGGUUAAUACCCCGCUGUUCUGACGGUACCCAAAGAAUAAGCACCGGCUAACUUCGUG